GACGAACGCUGGCGGCGUGCUUAACACAUGCAAGUCGAACGCGCCUGUCCUCUGGGUUUCUGGGGGGUGGGUGAGUGGCGAACGGGUGAGUAACACGUGAGUAACCUGCCCCCUUCUUCGGGAUAACGGUCUGAAAGGGCUGCUAAUACCGGGUAUUCACUGGUCUCCGCAUGGGGUCUGGUGGAAAGGUUUUUUUCUGGUGGGGGAUGGGCUCGCGGCCUAUCAGCUUGUUGGUGGGGUGAUGGCCCACCAAGGCUUUGACGGGUAGCCGGCCUGAGAGGGUGACCGGUAACAUUGGGACUGAGAUACGGCCCAGACUCCGACGGGAGGCAGCAGUGGGGAAUAUUGCACAAUGGGCGCAAGACUGAUGCAGCGACGCCGCGUGAGGGAUGGAGGCCUUCGGGUUGUGAACCUCUUUCGCCCGUGGUCAAGCCGCGACGUGGGUCGUGGUGAGGGUAGUGGGUAAAGAAGCGCCGGCUAACUACGUG
rnacentral:rRNA from 1 species